GAUGAACGCUGGCGGCGUGCCUAAUACAUGCAAGUCGAGCGAACGGACGAGAAGAUUGCUUCUCUGAUGUUAGCGGCGGACGGGUGAGUAACACGUGGAUAACCUACCUAUAAGACUGGGAUAACUUCGGGAAACCGGAGCUAAUACCGGAUGAUAUUUUGAACCGCAUGGUUCAAAAGUGAAAGACGGUCUUGCUGUCACUUAUAGAUGGAUCCGCGCUGCAUUAGCUAGUUGGUAAGGUAACGGCUUACCAAGGCAACGAUGCAUAGCCGACCUGAGAGGGUGAUCGGCCACACUGGAACUGAGACACGGUCCAGACUCCUACGGGAGGCAACAGUAGGGAAUCUUCCGCAAUGGGCGAAAGCCUGACGGAGCAACGCCGCGUGAGUGAUGAAGGUCUUCGGAUCGUAAAACUCUGUUAUUAGGGAAGAACAUAUGUGUAAGUAACUGUGCACAUCUUGACGGUACCUAAUCAGAAAGCCACGGCUAACUACGUG
rnacentral:rRNA from 1 species